CCCCCCCCCUUGGCAUCCAGACCGCUGUACAGCACAAGUGCGCAUGCGCGGCCCGUCUGGGGCUGGCCCGGGCGCACCUUUUCUCUCUCUCCUGCCACAAAGUGAACGCUCCGCCGCCUAGAUAACCGCCAACUCCCUACUCCACCCCCGCCCGCACCCCCCUCCUCCUACUCUCCAGCGCCCAGGGUUUUUCAAAGGUACUGGAGAGGACUCCUUUCCUCAUCUGCUUGGGCUGCCCUUGUUUGAGGAAGAGGGAUGAAUGUGAAACUCACUAGAAGAAUCUGUCAUUAUAGACUAACAAGCUUAGGAUUCCAAUAGCUGUUCCUUGGACUUCUCACAGAGGAGAAGAGAAUUUCUUUUUCCUCUUCCCCCUGGAAGCUAUGAAGGCUUCUUAGAAAUAACUGCAAGAGACAAAACAGCUGAUUGUCUAGAUGAGACUGAAGCUCAAUCUCAAGGCCCUCGUCUACCGCUAGCUAUCUUCUGUUUUGUGUUUCUGACUGAAAAGCAAUCCUGAGAUGGAUAUUUCUAUCCUUAGUGGCAACCUCAUGAAGUUGACAGGUUAGGAGCUCCUGGGUCCAGUGGCUGGUUGUCCAGCAGGAGAUGUCUGAAGCAAGAAGAGAAAAUGAUAGCUUCCGGGAAGAGGAGACCAAGCUUACUCUGGGUUGCCAGAAAAUAUGCACUUGAGAGAGUUGCUUGUACAAUGCAAAACUGAGGUAAAGGUGAAAUAUCUGGCAGCAAGUUGUGGUAUAUGAAUGUAAUGGAAUACUAUUGUGCAGGCAGACUUCAAAAAU